rnacentral:rRNA from 1 species
AGUGAACGCUGGCGGUAGGCCUAACACAUGCAAGUCGAACGGCAGCACAGUAAGAGCUUGCUCUUACGGGUGGCGAGUGGCGGACGGGUGAGGAAUACAUCGGAAUCUACUUUUUCGUGGGGGAUAACGUAGGGAAACUUACGCUAAUACCGCAUACGACCUACGGGUGAAAGCAAGGGAUCUUCGGACCUUUCGCGAUUGAUUGAGCCGAUGCCGGAUUAGCUAGUUGGCGGGGUAAAGGCCCACCAAGGCGACGAUCCGUAGCUGGUCUGAGAGGAUGAUCAGCCACACUGGAACUGAGACACGGUCCAGACUCCUACGGGAGGCAGCAGUGGGGAAUAUUGGACAAUGGGCGCAAGCCUGAUCCAGCCAUACCGCGUGGGUGAAGAAGGCCUUCGGGUUGUAAAGCCCUUUUGUUGGGAAAGAACAGCAGCAGGUUAAUACCCCGCUGUUCUGACGGUACCCAAAGAAUAAGCACCGGCUAACUUCGUG